AUGGCAAUCCGCGCGGCGGACGGGAGGACCACUUUGCCGUUAGCUUCCCGCGUAAAAACUUCAAAGGGGUGGCGACGUGCGACCCUCGCAAAGCGCGCGCCCACCAGUACGUCGACGGCAGCUCCUUCCCGCGCAUCGUCUCGAGGGACGACGGUGUCACGGCGACGACAUCCUUGCACAGCGGCGGCCGUGUUAAUCCCGGAGGAGGAGGACGCCGUCACGGCCAUGAGAUUUGAGAAAGAAGAUGAACAGAAGAAUCCAAUAGAAGAUUUGGUGAAGAACAAGGUUAAAGAGCCCAUGUUAUUUUGCUUGGCUUAUAUUCAGAAGGGACAAUACAAUGCUCUUUGGAGUCAAGUUUUUUUUAUAAAUGUUGAUUGUUGUAUUACUAUUUAUCAAUUGAGGCAUGAUUGUUGUGUGCUCUUCUUGCUGAAGAUUAUCCUGGUGUUAUUUGCUUUGUGA
rnacentral:rRNA from 1 species